UCAACUUCCCCUGCAUGAUGGUGUCCAACCCAGAGGCCACUCGUUUUGUGCUUGUCAUGAAGGCACACCUCUUCAAGCCCACCUUCCUUGCCAGCAAGGAGUGCAUGAUUGACCCCUAGGACAUCUUCUUCCAACAAGGAGCUUACCACGCUCGCCUCCGCCACCUCAUCCUCCGUUCCUUCCUCCCCGACACUAUCUGCUCCUCCAUCGCCAAAGUCAAGGCCAUUGCCCUCCGCCCACUUUUCAAGAAGAGCAAAAGGAGAUCACGAGGAGUAAAGGGAGUGAGCCCCUCGCUUGGGUCGACACCAAGAAGAUGCUGCUCUCCUCAAGGAGAUCCCAGUAACCAUGUGAAUGGCUUCCAUCCUAUUCUUCACCUUCUGAGAAGUCGUUGAGGAUGUGGAGUAUCAAGGCAAGUAGCUAACUGACACUGUCAUGCCCAUGCUCAUCCAAUUCCAUCUUUGACUCCAGCGAUUAGUAGGGCACCUGAUUCCUAAGGGAUGGAAGGUGUUGCUGCUCUUCAGAAACAUCCACCAUAGCCCAGAGAACUUCUUCGACCUAGAAAAAUAUGACCCCUCUAGAUUCAAGGUGGCUCCAAAGCCUAACACUUUCAUGCCAUUCGGAAAUAGGGCCCAUUCCUGCCCUAGAAAUGAGCUUGCAAGAUGGAGAUGCUCGUCCUCCUCUACCACCUCACCACAAAAUUCACGAAGUCGGCGAGGCAACAGCAAGAUCGGGUGGCCAAGGCUACAAGUUGAAGUGACUCAGCGAGAUUAGGAAGGAGAAGAUGAGUUGGACCUUCUGGCUAACUUUGUUUCUCCAAACUCGACAUUAGAAAAAGAAGAACACAAACAGUUGAAUUCACUGCUGAGACUCUUCGACCAUGAUCACCCCUUUCUUUCUCCAUUCAACAAGUGUGCUGGAGUCUUCCCUCUUAUGAUCUUUGAUCUCAACUCCACUGGAAGCAUCAGGAGAGACCAUGGUGAGAAGCUCAGGGAGUGCCAAAGAUUUUGAAUUGCCCUGGAGGAGAGAACAAUUCCUCCUGCUAAUCCAUCACCUGGAUCAAUCCACCAUUACACUAAACAGAAAACCAGAAAAGCAACAUCAGCUACUAUACAUCUUUAUUUAGCUAGUAGCAAAAUGUAUGAUGACUCAAUCCUAAAUUAUACAUGUGUGUGUGAGGCGAAGACUCUUUUUAUAGUGAACAAAAAGCUGCACGACUGGAACAGCAUCUUCUUAGGAUAUACGCCACUAUCUCAGUUGUCACUUUAUCUCCAUCACUUCAGGUAUUUGUUUCCC